UGUCAUAUUUUAAACAGAAUCAUCUACAACUCAUGCUGAAACUACUAGCCAAGACUUUUCUUUAGAUACCAUUUACAUUAUUACAAGUGUUGCAAGUAUUGGAUUAGUAAUAGUUGGUGUCAUUGGUUUCUUUGUGAUAAGGAAUUAUAGGAAAAAAAGAGGGUUCUAUGAUGUUCAGAAGUUUCACCAGAUUCAUCUGUGUAGGCCAAACUAAUUGUUUCAUGAUUUCAAACUGUCAAAGAACAUUUUUAGUCUAUUUAAUUUAGAGUUGUUGUAUGUAAUCAUCUUUUUUAUUCUGUUAAAUUGUUUUUAUUACACUUUUCAAGAGAUAUAAAUAUAAAAUAUUGACAAUUAAAGCCUGGUAAAUAAUAAAUCAGAAAACCUUUUUUUUUUAAAUGAGACCUUGGUGCCCCAGUGUAAAUAUGGGACUAUGAGAGUAAAAUAAGAACAGCAAAAUGAAAUACAAUUUUUGCUUUCAAAUGCCAUUUUUUAAUGUUUCUACAUGUUAAAUUGAUCUUAGAGAUAUAAAUUUACAAUUCAGUUAGUGUUGGAACUAAACUAAAUCUUAAAAGUUAAACUAAACCUAUGUUUCAACUAAAAUAAAGUAAUUAAACUAAAAGUUUCUCAUAAAUUUCAAAAUAUAAUUAAAGUAAAUGAAAAAAAAUGAAUUUAACUUUACAAACUUUUUAUAACUUUUUUUUUGAGGGGUGGGGGUGUGUGAUCUAAACCUAGCUAACCAUUCCGACUGUACAUUGUAGAAAUAUUUCUCCAUAACAAAAUCAGUCAUAUAUAUAAGGAAGACGUUUCUUACAUAAAUGUUGUUGCACAAUACAAUUAAUUUAAAAAAAAAAGAUGUCUAAAUAAAUGUGAGAUUGUUAUUUUUUGCGUUAAAUUAAAACCUUUCGAAAAAAAGUGCACUUUUACUUUUUAAAAUUAUAUUUUUUUUAUCAUGCCAAUGUGUUGUUUUCUUCUCUGACCACUCACCGUAAAACUAACACUAUUGUGUAAUGGCCCAUGUGGGGUUUGGGUUUUUAUAGAUUGUAAACAAUUGAUUGAUUGACAGAUGUAAAUAUUACACUUGUACUGGCCACCAAAAUGUAAAGGACGUGUUUGUUGUCAAUGUGUGUCAUGUUGAUUUAUGCUGGGUUCGUGCGUCCUGGAGCUACACUUUACACGUAAAAAACAUAAAUAGUAGAGAUUGACUUGAAUCCCAUUUCAGCAGACAAAAGGGACAUUUAUUAAAUAACAAUAUACUGCACUUCAUAGAAAUUACACAAAGAUAAUCCUAUUUGAAAUAUAAUUGCAUUCCCAUAACAGCGAUAUAAAAACAAAACAAGUGCCCUAGAAUACAAUUUUACUACUAAAAAUACAUCCGCAUCUCAGAGGUUAACAAUAACCUUCAAUAACAUGUAUCCAAUAAGUAUAAAGAACAACUAAUAAAAUAUGUGUAUUGUCUUUAUUGACUUGAAGUGACUACUCUACUCAACUGACUUAAAAGUUUUUACAGUAGGCUACUACUACUGAUAAAAAGUAAACAUAUAACAGGCAAUGUCAAGUAAGACUGUGACCUAUCUAUCUAUCUAUAUCUAUCUAUCUAUCUCUAUCUAUCUAUCUAUCUCUAUCUAUCUAUCUAUCUAUAUCUAUCUAUCUAUCUCUAUC